UGAAUCAUAAGUUAUGAUCGACUCAACUCGCUGCCCCGUCCGCUCGCCUUCAUCUGUCUACUUCCAUAAUCCGUCUUGCUUUGCUGCCGCCGCAAUCAAACACAACCGGCUUCCUGCUCCUCGAUCAAACAUCUCUCUCUUGAUGGCUUAAUUCCAGCCAAUGUUCCAAUAGUGGUUUUCCCCUAAUCGACGACUCAUCUCAAUCUAUUGGUGUUGCAUCAAUGCAAUCUUUCCAAGUUUUCACCUCGGAUAGGUUCUCUUUAUGUGCAGUUUUCUCUGUCCAAAACAAUGUCCAUCGUUUCAUCCCAGGGUCAACAGAUAGUUGCUUCCAAGAUUUCUCUAUAUAGCAGGCGCAGAUCAAGGACAUGCUCUUGCAUAGCUCCUGGAAGGAAAAAUAUCUAGCAAAUACAUGCAGAACCAUGACGUGAAGAUAUUAUAUCUUGCAGUCCAUCAGUGGAGUAUUCGUUUGAGAAAUCGAUCGACAAAGUAAUUUGGCGGAGUUGUUGGUUUAAUUAUGGUGUUCCGCGAUAUCUUAUGUCCUAACUCGGUAGCAAAUAAGAUACAAGAUCAGGUUUGUUCAAUUUAGUAAAUAAACUGUCUGUAUCGGCUGCCUGUCAGACCUGUUUUCUCUUCUCAUGCAGAGAUCCAAAGUGGUGUUUUAAUUCUGACCAGCGAAUCAAUGCAGUGUGUGGUAUGGUGUACUGAAUACUUCUGUGGAAUAUUUACUAUAUAUUCCUCUUAAUGCUUUUCAUGUUGUUUAAAACCAUAUUUCAACCUACUUUUCUGAAAUUAAGCAUCUCUUCUUAUUUUGUUGGAAAGUGGAUAUGUCAUUUUGGAGCAUUACUAGGUUUUCUAUAUCUACUUCUCUGCAUUUCUCACAAGCAAAAUAUUUUUUUCAGUUAACUUCGAUCUGUUCUUUCAAUUUUAUGCUCAUGUAAUGAUCCAAUAAAGAUAUGUGCAUCUUGGAAGAAUAAAUUAUGCUCUGUUCAGAUGGAAUUUCUUCUGAUUAUGCAUUCAGAAUUUCAAUUAGGAGGCACCAUACCAGCACUUAUUCCAAGCAACAAGGAAGAUCGAAAAAUGAUGCACAAGUUAACCUCUUGGUGAGGACAAUUACUUAAUGGACGGAAAAUAGGUUGUUUAUCUAUAUAGAUGGCGCUACUUGAAAUUAUUAUUUGUAAGUAUUAAAUGACAUUCCUUUGGUGUAUAUGUACAUUCUUUAUUAUGCAUCACUUCAAGAAUUAAUUGAAAUUAUUUUUUUGUACACAAAUUGAUAUUGGUUGGAAAGACCACAAGAGCCUUUUUAUUUUUUUGACAAGGUUGGCAUAAUUUUCAAGUUUAGAACUUCUGCAAUUACACAAAGAAAACAUAUUGUUCAUCGUUUGCAAAUAUUUAUUGAUAGAUGCUAACAGAUUUCUGCCCUAUUUAUAUAUGAGAUCAUGGUUCAAUAUAUUUAUGAAAUUUCUAAGAUCACCCUAAUAUCUUUGAUAAUUGGUCCAUAAUUUUCUAUCUUCUAAAUAAAUAUUGCUUCCAUGGAUUAUUGUAGGCCGAACAAACUAAUUUCCUGCACCAUAUGUACUAGAUUUCCCAAAUGCAAAAUGAGGUCUCAAUAUAUUCGGUGAAUGGGUUAAACUAUUACAAAAAAUGAUCAUGUUGAACGGUUAAUUUUUGUAAUCUUACAUCUACUUUUUAUAUUUUUAUUAUAUGAAUAUAAUAUAUCAUAAAUUAUGCAAUAUUUGUAUCUUCUU